AGUGAACGCUGGCGGCGUGCUUAACACAUGCAAGUCGAACGAGAACGGGUUAUAGCUUGCUAUAAUUGUCAGCUAAGUGGCGCACGGGUGAGUAAUGUAUAGGUAAUAUGCCUCUUACUAAGGGAUAACAAUUGGAAACGAUUGCUAAUACCUUAUACUCCUUAUUAACAGAAGUUAAUAAGGGAAAGAUUUAUUGGUAAGAGAUUAGCCUGUAUUGUAUCAGUUAGUUGGUGGGGCAAUGGCUUACCAAGACUAUGACACAUAACUGGUUUGAGAGGAUGAUCAGUCACACUGGAACUGAGACACGGUCCAGACUCCUACGGGAGGCAGCAGUGGGGAAUAUUGCACAAUGGACGAAAGUCUGAUGCAGCAACGCCGCGUGGAGGAUGACACAUUUCGGUGCGUAAACUCCUUUUAUAUGAGAAGAUAAUGACGGUAUUAUAUGAAUAAGCACCGGCUAACUCCGUGCCAGCCGCCGCGGUAA
rnacentral:rRNA from 1 species